UCGGCGGAUGCGAUGGCGACUUGGCCAGGGAAGAGGCGGGUGAAUCCCAACCAAGCAUCGAGGCCGGCUCACAUGCGGUUUGUUGCUGCAGAACGAGGCGAGUCCGUCUCCAGCUCGUGGCCGGCUUGGCUUGCCGUGUCGUUACUCCCGAUUUGGCGUUUCCAUGUGAAGGUCAUGUGAUGGCGCUAGUUCCGAUUGGGAGACAGAUCCUGAUCGGACGUGGAUUUUGUCUAACGCUAUGUGCGCGUAACUAGAAUCACAGCCGUCACCAUGCAUGCAUAGGGAUAUGUGUCACUCCUGAAAAGCUGAAUCACAUGCACUAGAUUCCUUUGGGGCCAUCUGUGCAUGCAACGGCUAGCCCAUGCUAUCCCUCUUGCAAACAAAAUUAGUAAAUAAUAAAAAAAAUGUCAGCAUCACUUUGAAA
rnacentral:lncRNA from 1 species